rnacentral:sRNA from 1 species
CCCUCUUGAGUCUUUUACAAGUGAACUUUCUUUCCUGUUUUAAAGCCUUUUAGAUAAACUUCCACUCCUGUGCUGAAACUUGCCUUGGUCUUUUUUUCUGCUUUAUGCCCCUCAGUCGAAUUUUUUCAUCUGAGGAGGCAAGAACUGAAGUUGCUGCAGACGCCUGUGGAUUCACCACCAGUACAUUGGAGUAACCACUGGGAACAAUAGGUUGCCUUAGAAGCUUUGCAGUAGAGUUGGGGUUUCACCAUGUUCCCAGCUGGUCUUGAACUCUUGAGGUGAAGCAAUCAGCCCAUUUUAGCAUCCCAAAGCGCUGAGAUUUCAGACGUGAGCCAUCGCACCUAGCCCUGCAAGUUGUUUUUUGUUUAACAGAAAAAGCUAUUCAGAAAUGUCCAGGGCUCUGUUAUUUACUCAGCAAGCUUACAAAGCCAUCUUUGAUUGACUGAUUCUUUGACAAUGACUAUCUGGAUGACGCAGGAAGGAUGCAGUUCUGGCCUUGGAGAGAAAACUUGCAAGGAAAGGAACAUGUUUGAAUUUCAGAUGUGUUCCUCAAUGAAUCACGAUCUUCAGGGAAUGUUUCAGGUGGAGGAAGGGGCUCUUGGUCAAUGAGCCUGAAGACUGCAUGGCAACCUUUGCCAGCUUUUGGCCUGAAAACUCAACUUCUUCAUUUGAGAUAAUUCCUGUUUUAUAUACUUUCAUUUGAGAUAUUCCUGGUGUAUCAAAUGAAACAAAAAUCUAUGAAAUAUCAGAUUCACAAAAAUACAUUUUGAAUAUUGAAUGUAGA